rnacentral:rRNA from 1 species
UACGUAGGGGGCUAGCGUUGUCCGGAAUCAUUGGGCGUAAAGCGCGCGUAGGCGGCCCGGUAAGUCCGUUGUGAAAGUCAAAGGCUCAACCUUUGAAAGCCGAUGGAUACUGCCGGGCUGGAGUCCGGAAGAGGCGAGUGGAAUUCCUGGUGUAGCGGUGGGAUGCGCAGAUAUCAGGAGGAACACCAAUAGCGAAGGCAGCUCGCUGGGACGGUACUGACACUGAGGCGCGAAAGCGUGGGGAGCGAACAGG